UUGUGUGUGUGUAAGUGUGUUACCGACCGAAAACUGUGUAAAUAAUCUAUGUAACUUAAUGUCUGCCCAUUCUUUUUAGCCCUUAUGGUUAUUUUGGGCAGGCAGUACUCUAUUCUAAUUUAAUGUUUAUUGUAAUUAUUUUAUAAAUUGUGAGUACAAAUAAAUGGUUGUUGUUGUUGUUGUUUUUUUAGGGUGGAGUAGUUAGAAACUUGCUGGACACAACAAACGAGCGACCAUGGCUGUGGGUGCUGUUUGUCAUUUUACUACUUGUUUUAAUUGGUGCUCGCUGUUUCCCUGGAAGCAAGAGUGAUGCUGCCAAAAAGAAGAAGACCGAUGAACCAACCGAAGAUGUUGUUCCUGAAGAAGACAAGGAUGAAAAAGUUGGAAUUGGAACUGGCAGUCGGAAUGGGCAACAGUUGUUUUCUUGUAGAGAAGACUUUGCAAAGUUUGUUGAUAUAAAAAAUGUUACACAAGGGGACGACUUUGAUGAGAACCAUAAGGAGUCUUCAUGUACAGGAAAGGAACCACCGGACAAACAGGAUGCUACUAAGGAGAAAAUUCGAAGACGUGGGAGAAAACGAG